UGGACUGAUGUGUGGGGCAGGACGUGUGCUGGGUGCACUGGGGUCCCCAGAAGGACGUGUCCGAGCGCUGCCAACUGAAGGGACUCAAGAAAGAUCGUCCAGUGACGAGUCCUUCUAAGAGAGGAGAAGACGCACAGAUGUGCAGCGAGAGGCCGAGAUCAGAGGGCCACGGCCGCAGCCCGGGAGCGCGUGGAGGCUGGAAGAGGCCGGGAGGGUCCUGCUGCAGGGCCUCUGCAGGAAGCACGGCCCCGGAUCUCCGGUCUCUGGCCUCCAGACCGUGUGCGAAUAAAUCUCUGCCCUUCUGAACCCCUAGACCAGGGCAGUUUGUCACGGAUCCCUGGGAACGGGUACACACGUCAUCUCUCCUCGAGACCUUGGUUUAAAGGAAAUCUGCCAGACACGCUGCUGCUGGACUUGAAUUAGAGGAAGUCGCUGGGCACCAGCUGGAAACUGUCCCCCAAGAAGACACGGGGGCUCGGGAGGUCUGGGGUCACCAUUCUCUUGGGACCGGAGAUGAGCUCCAAGGAGCUCCAGAAAGCAGUAGGGCUUCCUGGGUCCAAGGCACGAAGAUACCUGCUCCCGGCACGCAUUUGCUCAUGGAGGUUGGAAUAAGCAGCCUCCUCGGGCACUUCCAUCGUCCCGCUGAAGGCGCGACCGCAGGCCGUGUCCCGUUCUCAGCACACACGAGGCGUGAGCAAAACGCGGCUUGAUCAUGUGUUGACGUUGACCAUGAGGAGCAGAGCUCUUCAGCGGUUCACAGUAUAACCAAGCCCCCGCGUUCCAAGUGACAGCAUCCCUGCUUCUGUUGAGGCCACCGUGCCCGGCGGGUUGGUGGGGACGGACUCUCCCCAGGGACACGGGGUGCAUGGGAGCCCCCCUGGCAGAGGGGUCCGAGCCACAGCCCAGGCUGUCACAGCCCCGGUGACAUCUCACCGCCACCAGUGUGGGGGUGCAGGGGGAGGGGGUCUUUCUCUGCCACCACCCUGUCACCACACAGAGUCCUCUGCAGCUCUAGAAAUACACUAAACAGACAACCUAGAGGACCAACUUCUCAACCGAGGCUUAUUUAAGUUUUUUCAGCAGACACCGCAAUGCACUUUUUCUGGUUAAUUCUGUGUGUUUUACAGUGGGGGCUCGUUACCUUGACCUUGGUGCCUGCUGGGCUUCAGAGGGGACUCCUGGGUGUGCAGAGCGGGGGACCGCCGGAGGCUGGGCAGGGGUCCCCACGCCGUAACCGUGCCAUCCAGGGUGGGAGCACCGGCCGACGCUCGGUCCCCGAGGACGGCUGAAGAGCAGAUGAGAGCCGCGCUCAGGGAGGAGCCGAGCCGUGUCGCUCCAGGCUGGGCCAGGGCAGCGAGAGGGCAGCGAGAGGGCAGCGAGCUGGGCAGCGAGCUGGGCAGGCUGCGGGGAGGAGCUUGGGCGGCGUGACGGCGGCCCCCGGCCCCGGGUGCUGGUGCAGAGGACCGAAGGGAGAAGGGACGGUCCCCGCACGGGGGCAGACGCGGCCGAGUGAGGCAGGCGACCGUCCGGGACGCGCAGGGCACGCAGAGACAGCAACCACUGCGGGGGUGGGGGGGGAGGGGGAGCUCAGGAGCUCUUUUUGGCUCCUGUCAGGGUUGAGGUGCCUGUAGGACACCCCAGGUCACAGUCAGGCAGCUGGGGGGACCACAAGACUCUGGGGUAGGGAUCUGGGGUCAGGGGCUUCAUCGUGGACUUUGGGGUGCAGGAGUGGGUUACACCAUCUCCGGAAGCAGUAAGGAGGGAGUCCCCGAGGGGACCCAGCAGGGGCCGGCUUGGAGGGGUCGCAGGAAGCCGGCCAAUAAGCAGGAAACUGGAGCAGCCCCGACCCAGGGUUUGGGGUCAAAUCAGGGACAAUGUCAAAAAUACACACCAGCAAAUAGAUACCACGCAGAUAAGAUAAGGCACAGGUCAGGGGACAUGGAGGAAAAGCACGUUGGCUGGCUCGGCUCUGAGCAAGACGCGGUCACCAGAAGGUAAGCCAGAGCAACCUUCCAGUAGGACCCUGAGUCAGACACCUGCCAGCACAGCCGGGGCGCCAGCCCCACAUGUUUCUUGUCCCCUGAGGGGUCCUGUGUCCCUGGCUGCUAAGGGUGGCCACGUCCCCACGAUGGAAGUGGUGUGUUUCCAGGGCUGGUGUGAAGGGCUCGGGGCACGGUCCUCCGCACCCCUGCCCUAUCUGCCACCGGGGUCCUUGAUGACGACCGUGCAGGUGGCCAAGCUUCCGGAGCGAGGACCGGGCUCUCUGCUGGCCAGGAGCCCUUGUCUGAACCCAAGCUGGGAAGAUAUAGACCCCAACGUGCAGUUAACCUAGCCCAGCGGCCGGUGUGACCUGAUAGUAAAAACCACAGAAAAAUAAUGACAAACAAAACCCUUAGGAGUCGGAAGGGACGCCCCAGGACGUGGGGUUCGGAAGGGGUGGGGAGUGACCAGGAGCUAUGACUGUCCCCUUCCUACAGACGAGAAAUCAGGUGCUGGGGCCGCCUGCCCGGGACGUGGCUCUGUCAGUCGCGUUCCUACAAAACAAACCAUCCCCCAAUCGGCGGCACAAAGUACAUGUUAUUCCAUCCGCCAGGUCUGUGGGGCCGAGGGGCCGUUCUGCCAACCCGGGCUGGCUGUGACCCCUCAGCGCUGCUCCGGCUGUCCCUCCUCACAGGGCCCUUGGGUUUGAGUGCUCCUGGCGGUGUGAGGAGCACGUGUGAGCUCCCCACAUGUGCGGACCGCACCAGGACCCACCGGACCCAGGCCCGAGCCCGCUCGCCGACUCUGACCACCCUACGUCCCACCACUCACGGGACACACAAAACCUCCAGACCACGGAGAGGAAGCACCGAGACAGAGGCAUGGGUGUGGCUCACGGAGGCCUUUGGCCACCGGCACAGUCGGGUCAGCCCCGGAGCGGGUGCCAAAGCCCGGGGAUGACCUGCCGGUGUGGGCGUCGGAGCCAGGAGCUGGACGUGGGCGUCCACCUGUCAUCCGAUGUGGUUAGAAACGCGUCUGGUUACAGAACAGCACCAAAUGUUUUCUUUAUUAAUUUUGAGAAUAAGAGCGGAUUAAAACUUUCAUCUAUUUUAUGCCCUCAGUGAUGUAAAAUUUGUGAAUGAAAAAUGAUUGAAGUAA